UUUUUUCUACAGAAAAGUCCAAAAAUCAUUAAAGAAAUGAAGAAGAAAAUGAAAAUACACUGUUAAAAUAAAGUUAUAUUAUUUUUAAAAAAAUUUACACUAUUUUAGAUAAAAGUUACACUUUUUGGGACAGAAAAUUACACUCUUUGGAUUAGAGUUGCACUUUUUAGAUAAAAGUUGCACUAUUUAGAUAAAAUUUACACCAUUUUCGAUUCUCUUCUUCUUCCUCCUCCUUCUUUCCUUUCGUUUCUCGUCCUCCUCCUCCUUCUCCUCCUUCCUUUCCAACUCACAGCUGCCGCCGUCGUCGUACAUGCCCACGCCGCCGCUAUCCACAUA
rnacentral:lncRNA from 1 species